rnacentral:rRNA from 1 species
CAGUCGCCACGGUAAUACAGAGGGUGCGAGCGUUAAUCGGAUUUACUGGGCGUAAAGCGUGCGUAGGCGGCUUUUUAAGUCGGAUGUGAAAUCCCUGAGCUUAACUUAGGAAUUGCAUUCGAUACUGGGAAGCUAGAGUAUGGGAGAGGAUGGUAGAAUUCCAGGUGUAGCGGUGAAAUGCGUAGAGAUCUGGAGGAAUACCGAUGGCGAAGGCAGCCAUCUGGCCUAAUACUGACGCUGAGGUACGAAAGCAUGGGGAGCAAACAGGAUUAGAUACCCCAGUAGUCCAUGUCUCUUAUAC